UACGUAGGGUGCGAGCGUUGUCCGGAAUUAUUGGGCGUAAAGGGCUCGUAGGCGGUUUGUCGCGUCGGGAGUGAAAACCUUGGGCUUAACUCAGGGCUUGCUUUCGAUACGGGCAGACUAGAGGUAUGCAGGGGAGAACGGAAUUCCUGGUGUAGCGGUGAAAUGCGCAGAUAUCAGGAGGAACACCGGUGGCGAAGGCGGUUCUCUGGGCAUGUCCUGACGCUGAGGAGCGAAAGUGCGGGGAGCGAACAGG
rnacentral:rRNA from 1 species